rnacentral:rRNA from 1 species
AGCGAACGCUGGCGGCAGGCCUAACACAUGCAAGUCGAACGAACUCUUCGGAGUUAAUGGCGGACGGGUGAGUAACACGUGGGAACGUGCCUUUAGGUUCGGAAUAACUCAGGGAAACUUGUGCUAAUACCGAAUGUGCCCUUCGGGGGAAAGAUUUAUCGCCUUUGGAGCGGCCCGCGUCUGAUUAGCUAGUUGGUGGGGUAAAGGCUCACCAAGGCGAAGAUCAGUAGCUGGUCUGAGAGGAUGAUCAGGCACAUUGGGACUGAGACACGGCCCAAACGCCUACGGGCGGCGUCAGUGGGGGAGCUUGCGCAAUGGGCGAAGGCCUGACGCAGCCAUGCCGCGUGAAUGAUGAAGGUCUUAGGAUUGUAAAAUUCUUUCACCGGGGACGAUAAUGACGGUACCCGGAGAAGAAGCCCCGGCUAACUUCGUGCCAGCCGCCGCAGUAA